rnacentral:lncRNA from 1 species
GACACCGAAUGCAAGACCAGCAAUGACAGAGUUCUCAACGGCGAAAGCAGCGAGCUCGAGUUCACCGACGCGACCAGCAAAGGUUUGAGUAAGAGCACCAAGCGAGUACUGACAAAUACAGGUGAAAAUUGCCGGCCCUGCGAGUUUCCAUAGCCGCUUAGAUUCAUAACCAAAUUCCUUAACAAAACCUAACUGCUUUUGCUGAUCAUCUCCAUCGCUAUAAAUAUCGU